rnacentral:rRNA from 1 species
AUUGAACGCUGGCGGCAGGCCUAACACAUGCAAGUCGAACGGAUCCUUCGGGAUUAGUGGCGGACGGGUGAGUAACACGUGGGAACGUGCCCUUUGGUUCGGAACAACUCAGGGAAACUUGAGCUAAUACCGGAUGUGCCCUUCGGGGGAAAGAUUUAUCGCCAUUGGAGCGGCCCGCGUCUGAUUAGCUAGUUGGUGAGGUAAAGGCUCACCAAGGCGACGAUCAGUAGCUGGUCUGAGAGGAUGAUCAGCCACAUUGGGACUGAGACACGGCCCAAACUCCGACGGGAGGCAGCAGUGGGGAAUCUUGCGCAAUGGGCGAAAGCCUGACGCAGCCAUGCCGCGUGAAUGAUGAAGGUCUUAGGAUUGUAAAAUUCUUUCACCGGGGACGAUAAUGACGGUACCCGGAGAAGAAGCCCCGGCUAACUUCGUGCCAGCCGCCGCAGUAUAC